rnacentral:rRNA from 1 species
GUACGGGAGGCAGCAGUGGGGAAUUAUGCACAAUGGACGAAAGUCUGAUGCUGCAACGCUGCGUGAAGGAUGAAGGUUUUCGGAUCGUAAACUUCUUUUAUCUGGGAAUAAUCAUGAAGGUACCAGAUGAAUAAGCACCGGCUAACUACGUGCCAGCAGCCGCGGUAAUACGUAGGGUGCAAACAUUACCCGGAUUCACUGGGCGUAAAGAGUUCGUAGGCGGUUUUGUAAGUUGGAUAUUAAAUACCUUGGCUCAACCAAGGGAGUGUAUCCAAAACUGCAUUACUUGAGGCAUGCAAGGGAAGAUGGAACUUACGGUGUAGCAGUGAAAUGCGUAGAUAUCGUAAGGAACGCCAAUGGUGAAGACAGUCUUCUGGGCAUGUCCUGACGCUGAGGAACGAAAGCGUGGGGAGCGAACGGGAUUAGAUACCCGGGUAGUCC